rnacentral:rRNA from 1 species
UAUGGUGGUUAUACCAAGGGUGUUCACCUCUUCCCAUCCCGAACAGAGAAGUUAAGCCCUUAUGGCCGAUGGUACUGCACAACAAUGCGGGAGAGUAGGUAGCUGCCAUAU